rnacentral:rRNA from 1 species
GGGUUGUGAGGUUAAGCGACUAAGCGUACACGGUGGAUGCCCUGGCAGUCAGAGGCGAUGAAGGACGUGCUAAUCUGCGAUAAGCGUCGGUAAGGUGAUAUGAACCGUUAUAGCCGGCGAUUUCCGAAUGGGGAAACCCAGUGUGUUUCGACACACUAUCAUUACGUGAAUACAUAGCGUAAUGAAGCGAACCGGGGGAACUGAAACAUCUAAGUACCCCGAGGAAAAGAAAUCAACCGAGAUUCCCCCAGUAGCGGCGAGCGAACGGGGAGCAGCCCAGAGUCUGAAUCAGCUUGUGUGUUAGUGGAACGGUCUGGAAAGUCCGACGGUACAGGGUGAUAGUCCCGUACACCAAAAUGCACAGGUUGUGAACUCGAAGAGUAGGGCGGGACACGUGGUAUCCUGUCUGAAUAUGGGGGGACCAUCCUCCAAGGCUAAAUACUCCUGACUGACCGAUAGUGAACCAGUACCGUGAGGGAAAGGCGAAAAGAACCCCGGCGAGGGGAGUGAAAAAGAACCUGAAACCGUGUACGUACAAGCAGUGGGAGCCUCUUUAUGGGGUGACUGCGUACCUUUUGUAUAAUGGGUCAGCGACUUAUAUUCUGUAGCAAGGUUAACCGUAUAGGGGAGCCGAAGGGAAACCGAGUCUUAACUGGGCGUUAAGUUGCAGGGUAUAGACCCGAAACCCGGUGAUCUAGCCAUGGGCAGGUUGAAGGUUGGGUAACACUAACUGGAGGACCGAACCGACUAAUGUUGAAAAAUUAGCGGAUGACUUGUGGCUGGGGGUGAAAGGCCAAUCAAACCGGGAGAUAGCUGGUUCUCCCCGAAAGCUAUUUAGGUAGCGCCUCGUGAAUUCAUCUUCGGGGUAGAGCACUGUUUCGGCUAGGGGGUCAUCCCGACUUACCAACCCGAUGCAAACUGCGAAUACCGAAGAAUGUUAUCACGGGAGACACACGGCGGGUGCUAACGUCCGUCGUGAAGAGGGAAACAACCCAGACCGCCAGCUAAGGUCCCAAAGUCAUGGUUAAGUGGGAAACGAUGUGGGAAGGCACAGACAGCCAGGAUGUUGGCUUAGAAGCAGCCAUCAUUUAAAGAAAGCGUAAUAGCUCACUGGUCGAGUCGGCCUGCGCGGAAGAUGUAACGGGGCUAAACCAUGCACCGAAGCUGCGGCAGCGACACUAUGUGUUGUUGGGUAGGGGAGCGUUCUGUAAGCCGUUGAAGGUGGCCUGUGAGGGUUGCUGGAGGUAUCAGAAGUGCGAAUGCUGACAUAAGUAACGAUAAUGCGGGUGAAAAACCCGCACGCCGGAAGACCAAGGGUUCCUGUCCAACGUUAAUCGGGGCAGGGUGAGUCGACCCCUAAGGCGAGGCCGAAAGGCGUAGUCGAUGGGAAACAGGUUAAUAUUCCUGUACUUGGUGUUACUGCGAAGGGGGGACGGAGAAGGCUAUGUUAGCCGGGCGACGGUUGUCCCGGUUUAAGCAUGUAGGCGGAGGUUCCAGGUAAAUCCGGUACCUUUUUAACGCUGAGGUGUGAUGACGAGGCACUACGGUGCUGAAGUAACAAAUGCCCUGCUUCCAGGAAAAGCCUCUAAGCAUCAGGUAACACGAAAUCGUACCCCAAACCGACACAGGUGGUCAGGUAGAGAAUACCAAGGCGCUUGAGAGAACUCGGGUGAAGGAACUAGGCAAAAUGGUGCCGUAACUUCGGGAGAAGGCACGCUGAUAUGUAGGUGAAGUGAUUUACUCAUGGAGCUGAAAUCAGUCGAAGAUACCAGCUGGCUGCAACUGUUUAUUAAAAACACAGCACUGUGCAAACACGAAAGUGGACGUAUACGGUGUGACGCCUGCCCGGUGCCGGAAGGUUAAUUGAUGGGGUUAUCCGUAAGGAGAAGCUCUUGAUCGAAGCCCCGGUAAACGGCGGCCGUAACUAUAACGGUCCUAAGGUAGCGAAAUUCCUUGUCGGGUAAGUUCCGACCUGCACGAAUGGCGUAAUGAUGGCCAGGCUGUCUCCACCCGAGACUCAGUGAAAUUGAACUCGCUGUGAAGAUGCAGUGUACCCGCGGCAAGACGGAAAGACCCCGUGAACCUUUACUAUAGCUUGACACUGAACACUGGUCCUUGAUGUGUAGGAUAGGUGGGAGGCUUUGAAGUGUGGACGCCAGUCUGCAUGGAGCCAUCCUUGAAAUACCACCCUUUAAUGGCUGGUGUUCUAACGUGGACCCGUUACCCGGGUUGCGGACAGUGUCUGGUGGGUAGUUUGACUGGGGCGGUCUCCUCCUAAAGAGUAACGGAGGAGCACGAAGGUUAGCUAAUCCUGGUCGGACAUCAGGAGGUUAGUGCAAAGGCAUAAGCUAGCUUGACUGCGAGAGUGACGGCUCGAGCAGGUGCGAAAGCAGGUCUUAGUGAUCCGGUGGUUCUGAAUGGAAGGGCCAUCGCUCAACGGAUAAAAGGUACUCCGGGGAUAACAGGCUGAUACCGCCCAAGAGUUCAUAUCGACGGCGGUGUUUGGCACCUCGAUGUCGGCUCAUCACAUCCUGGGGCUGAAGUAGGUCCCAAGGGUAUGGCUGUUCGCCAUUUAAAGUGGUACGCGAGCUGGGUUUAGAACGUCGUGAGACAGUUCGGUCCCUAUCUGCCGUGGGCGCUGGAGAAUUGAGGGGGGCUGCUCCUAGUACGAGAGGACCGGAGUGGACGCAUCACUGGUGUUCGGGUUGUCAUGCCAAUGGCAUUGCCCGGUAGCUAAAUGCGGAAGAGAUAAGUGCUGAAAGCAUCUAAGCACGAAACUUGCCCCGAGAUGAGUUCUCCCUGAGACUAUAAGUCUCCUGAAGGAACGUUAAAGACGAUGACGUUGAUAGGUCGGGUGUGUAAGCGUAGCGAUACGUUGAGCUAACCGAUACUAAUGAACCGUGAGGCUUAACCUUACAACGCCGAAG